AAUCAACGCUGGCGGCGUGCCUCAGACAUGCAAGUCGAACGCGAAAGUUUCCUUCGGGAGAUGAGUAGAGUGGCGCACGGGUGAGUAACACGUGAGUAAUUUACCUCGGGUGGGGAAGUACCAAUCGGAACGAAUUGUUAAUACCGCAUAAUGCAGCGGCAUCAAUGAUGACAGUUGUUUAAAGACGGGGGGAGUUGGAGCAAUCCGACCUCGCGCCUGAAGAGAAGCNCGCGGCAGAUUAGCUAGUUGGUAAGGUAAUGGCUUACCAAGGCGACGAUCUGUAACCGGCCUGAGAGGGCGGGUCGGUCACACUGACACUGAAUAACGGGUCAGACUCCUACGGGAGGCAGCAGUCGGGAA
rnacentral:rRNA from 1 species